CCGAGUGAGGGCCCUCUGGGUCCAACCUCCCACCCGUGUUUAUCGUACCUUGUUGCUUCGGCGGGCCCGCCACUUGUGGCCGCCGGGGGGCACCUGCCCCCGGGCCCGCGCCCGCCGAAGACACCAUUGAACGCUGUAUGAAGAUUGCAGUCUGAGCUUAUUAGCUAAAUUAGUUA
rnacentral:misc_RNA from 1 species